rnacentral:rRNA from 1 species
GGUAGAAUUCCAGGUGUAGCGGUGAAAUGCGUAGAGAUCUGGAGGAAUACCGGUGGCGAAGGCGGCCCCCUGGACGAAGACUGACGCUCAGGUGCGAAAGCGUGGGGAGCAAACAGGAUUAGAUACCCUGGUAGUCCACGCCGUAAACGAUGUCGACUUGGAGGUUGUGCCCUUGAAGUGUGGCUUCCGGAGCUAACGCGUUAAGUCGACCGCCUGGGGAGUACGGCCGCAAGGUUAAAACUCAAAUGAAUUGACGGGGGCCCGCACAAGCGGUGGAGCAUGUGGUUUAAUUCGAUGCAACGCGAAGAACCUUACCUGGUCUUGACAUCCACGGAAGUUUUCAGAGAUGAGAA